AAGCUCGUAGUUGAAUUUCGGGAUUAGUACGUCGGUCGUGCCUUAGGUACGUACUGGUGUUACUGGUUUCUACCUUCUGACGAACCAUCAUGUCAUUAAUUUGGUGUGGUGGGGAAUCAGGACUGUUACUUUGAAAAAAUUAGAGUGUUUAAAGCAGGCUCGCGCUUGAAUACAUUAGCAUGGAAUAAUGAAAUAGGACGUUGAUCCUAUUUUGUGGUUUCUAGGAUUGACGUAAUGAUUAAUAGGGAUAGUUGGG
rnacentral:rRNA from 1 species